rnacentral:rRNA from 1 species
UACAGAGGUCUCAAGCGUUGUUCGGAUUCAUUGGGCGUAAAGGGUGCGCAGGUGGUCGGGUAAGUCUGACGUGAAAUCCCGCAGCUUAACUGCGGAAUGGCAUUGGAUACUAUUCGGCUAGAGGGUUGGAGGGGGGACUGGAAUUCUCGGUGUAGCAGUGAAAUGCGUAGAUAUCGAGAGGAACACCAGUGGCGAAGGCGAGUCCCUGGACAACUCCUGACGCUGAGGCACGAAAGCUAGGGGAGCAAACAGG